rnacentral:rRNA from 1 species
AGCGAACGCUGGCGGCAGGCUUAACACAUGCAAGUCGAGCGGACCUUUCGGGGUCAGCGGCGGACGGGUGAGUAACGCGUGGGAACGUGCCCUCUGGUUCGGAAUAACUCAGGGAAACUUGAGCUAAUACCGGAUACGCCCUUUUGGGGAAAGGCUUGCUGCCGGAGGAUCGGCCCGCGUCUGAUUAGCUAGUUGGUGAGGUAACGGCUCACCAAGGCGACGAUCAGUAGCUGGUCUGAGAGGAUGAUCAGCCACACUGGGACUGAGACACGGCCCAGACUCCUACGGGAGGCAGCAGUGGGGAAUAUUGGACAAUGGGCGCAAGCCUGAUCCAGCCAUGCCGCGUGAGUGAUGAAGGCCUUAGGGUUGUAAAGCUCUUUUAUCCGGGACGAUAAUGACGGUACCGGAGGAAUAAGCCCCGGCUAACUUCGUG